rnacentral:tRNA from 1 species
UGGGAUGUGGCUCAGUGGAAAAGCACUUGCCUAGCAUGCAUGAGGCUCUGGGUUUUAUCCCCAGCACUGCAA